rnacentral:rRNA from 1 species
AUUGAACGCUGGCGGCAGGCCUAACACAUGCAAGUCGAGCGGAUGAAGGGAGCUUGCUCCUGGAUUCAGCGGCGGACGGGUGAGUAAUGCCUAGGAAUCUGCCUGGUAGUGGGGGAUAACGUCCGGAAACGGGCGCUAAUCCCGCAUACGUCCUGAGGGAGAAAGUGGGGGAUCUUCGGACCUCACGCUAUCAGAUGAGCCUAGGUCGGAUUAGCUAGUUGGUGGGGUAAAGGCCUACCAAGGCGACGAUCCGUAACUGGUCUGAGAGGAUGAUCAGUCACACUGGAACUGAGACACGGUCCAGACUCCUACGGGAGGCAGCAGUAGGGAAUAUUGGACAAUGGGCGAAAGCCUGAUCCAGCCAUGCCGCGUGUGUGAAGAAGGUCUUCGGAUUGUAAAGCACUGUAAGUUGGGAGGAAGGGCAGUAAGUGAAUACCUUGCUGUUUUGACGUUACCAACAGAAUAAGCACCGGCUAACUUCGUG